AACGAACGCUGGCGGCAUGCCUAACACAUGCAAGUCGAACGAGCCCUUCGGGUCUAGUGGCGCACGGGUGCGUAACGCGUGGGAACCUGCCCUUAGGUUCGGAAUAACUCCCCGAAAGGGGUGCUAAUACCGGAUAAUGUCUUCGGACCAAAGAUUUAUCGCCUUUGGAUGGGCCCGCGUUGGAUUAGCUAGUUGGUAGGGUAAAAGCCUACCAAGGCGACGAUCCAUAGCUGGUCUGAGAGGAUGAUCAGCCACACUGGGACUGAGACACGGCCCAGACUCCUACGGGAGGCAGCAGUGGGGAAUAUUGGACAAUGGGCGAAAGCCUGAUCCAGCAAUGCCGCGUGAGUGAUGAAGGCCUUAGGGUUGUAAAGCUCUUUUACCCGGGAUGAUAAUGACAGUACCGGGAGAAUAAGCUCCGGCUAACUCCGUG
rnacentral:rRNA from 1 species